rnacentral:rRNA from 1 species
GACGAACGCUGGCGGCGUGCCUAAUACAUGCAAGUCGAGCGCAGGAAGCCGUCUGAACCCUUCGGGGGGACGACGGUGGAAUGAGCGGCGGACGGGUGAGUAACACGUAAAGAACCUGCCCAUAGGUCUGGGAUAACCACGAGAAAUCGGGGCUAAUACCGGAUGUGUCAUCGGACCGCAUGGUCCGCUGAUGAAAGGCGCUCCGGCGUCGCCCGUGGAUGGCUUUGCGGUGCAUUAGCUAGUUGGUGGGGUAACGGCCCAACAAGGCGACGAUGCAUAGCCGACCUGAGAGGGUGAUCGGCCACACUGGGACUGAGACACGGCCCAGACUCCUACGGGAGGCAGCAGUAGGGAAUCUUCCACAAUGGACGAAAGUCUGAUGGAGCAACGCCGCGUGAACGAUGAAGGCUUUCGGGUCGUAAAGUUCUGUUGUAAGGGAAGAACAAGUGCCGCAGGCAAUGGCGGCACCUUGACGGUACCUUGCGAGAAAGCCACGGCUAAUUACGUGCCAGCCGCCGCGGUAA